UUUAUUAAAUCGAUUUGCUGAGAAUACGCACGCAUUAUUGAGCUAAAAACUUUCCAUGAACUUUCAAUAACAAUUCGUAAAAAGUUUCUAGUCAAUUGGAUACAUUAAUUAAACCUACAAUAUUAGAAUUAUAUACAAUAUUAGACUACCGAAGUUCUGAUUUGAAAUUAACCUUUCGUUUGUUUUCUUGUUUCCUUUCUCUUUUUUUUUUUCUUUUUUGUUAUUGCCCUAGUAGGCAGACGAGCACACAGCCCUGAAGGUAAGUAGUUAACGUCACCCAUGGACUUCACCAAUGCCAGGGGAAGAGCCUAGCCGCUGUCUACCGUAUCGACGUCUACAAAUCGACGAGCUGAUCGUGAUUAGGGUGAUUAGGGUAAUGCUAGUAGUACGCGAGUACUAGUAGGGGAGACCAGGGCAAGAUGAAGUUCGGGGCAGGACGGGAAAUAAGCUUUUGUUCAUGAAUGGUAAUCGUGUUCGGACCGGUAACGGUGCCAUUUGCACGAAAUUCAGACUGCGCAAAUGCGUCCGAGCAGAGCGAACGUAUUGGAUCUCGUUUUUGCGUUGUAUAGGAAAAAAACUGAUUUUGCAAGUGUUUUUAUCCGGUUUUUGGUUAAGAAACUGAUAUGCAGACAUAUACAGUGGUUCGGAACUAUAAACGAAAAACAGAUCGUGGCAAAUGGGACCCUGAAGUUCCGGGUCUUAUGGGUUCUUAAUAACAGGACGGGGCUUCCUCGAGCCUCUGCUACAUAUGAUGUUCCGCCGCCGUGUAAGAAAAGCUCGUGAUACUGUGGAUGACGACAUUGAUUCCGGUAACUACUAAGUAUGCAGGAAGCACGGUUAACCGGAAAAUAACUUCGUGUAAUAGCUUAUCAGUUGACUCAGCGAAAUCAUAUAGAUAGCCCACUUAAUGAAGAAACCGACAUGGCAGGAGAAGAUUGGCGUAAAAAACGAAUACACAAAGUUGGAAAUAAGAAGAUAAAAAUAACUGAAAACAAGCAUCAAGCUAAAAGACUCGCCCAAGAAAUCGAAUCGGAAUAUAGUUCAUCUUAAGAGGAGGACGGUGACUGGGCCUGCAUCUAUUGUGGUUACUAAUACUAAGAGUCAACCGAGGGUUGGGCUAUCUGCAGUAUUUGUCAUGGUUGGGCACACGAUUCCUGUGCCGAAGUAGAUGAAGAAGACGACGAGGCACACAUUUGUGAACGCUGUCUGCCCGAUUAAAAUACGUACUCCUUUUGCCCCGUAGCAUUUCCCAUCUUACCCCGUCCAUGGGGCAAGACGGGAAAUUCGCCACAUUAUCGUUAAUCAUUAUUUGUCAAAAAACUUCUGUGAUUUUGCUUGAUAAAAUUAUUAAUUUUAAGAAACAAAUGUAUAAGUGUUACUUAUUUUCUUAAAGAAUUUAAUUAAACAGUAUAAUUGUCUUUGUA